rnacentral:rRNA from 1 species
CAGCUAGUUGGUGAGGUAACGGCUCACCAAGGCUAUGAUCGUUAGCUGGUCUGAGAGGAUGGCCAGCCACACUGGAACUGAGACACGGUCCAGACUCCUACGGGAGGCAGCAGUGGGGAAUCUUGCACAAUGGGCGAAAGCCUGAUGCAGCGACGCCGCGUGGGGGAUGAAGCUUUUCGGAGUGUAAACCCCUUUCGACCCGGACGAAUGCCCCGCAAGGGGACUGACGGUACGGGUAUAAGAAGCCCCGGCUAACUACGUGCCAGCAGCCGCGGUAAGACGUAGGGGGCCAGCGUUGCUCGGAAUUACUGGGUGUAAAGGGUUCGUAGGCGGUGUGGCAAGUCGGGAGUGAAAUCUCUGGGCUCAACCCAGAGGCUGCUUCCGAAACUGCUGUGCUUGAGUGUGGGAGAGGCGCGUGGAAUUGCAGGUGUAGCGGUGAAAUGCGUAGAUAUCUGCAGGAACACCCGUGGCGAAAGCGGCGCGCUGGACCACAACUGACGCUGAGGAACGAAAGCUAGGGGAGCAAACAGGAUUAGAUACCCUGGUAGUCCUAGCCCUAAACGAUCAGGACUUGGGGUGCUUCACGUUCGUGGAGCGUCCCGGAGCUAACGCGUUAAGUCCUGCACC